GGAGAAUAUUGUUGAUCUGAAAGAAGCAAAGAGCGCAAAGAAUGGUGUUCAGUUGAUGAUAUGGUUCCAAACACAAACAGAAAGAGAUAUACAGUUUGCAAUCGCAUAAUGGUCUGAAGGAGUUGAAAAUCAAAGGAUCCAAGGGUACAAUAUUUCCAAAUUGGGUUGGGCAUUGCUCCUACUUCCUACUAAAACAUGACACGUGUAUCUCUGAAGUAUUGCAACAAUUGCUGCAUGCUGCCUCAGUUGCCUCAACAACGUUGCGAGCAGAAGCAUGAACAAAUUUGGCCUAAAUUUUCCCACACCCCCACUAAUCACGUCAAAGAGGACAUAUUUUUCUUAGUAGGCAUUUCUGAGCAGGUAGCUUCAGGAUUUCAGGAGAACAAGGCAGGAGAAAAGCUGUCUUUCUCUCUAUUACUACUUCAAAUUCAAGACUGUCCUUUGAUCGGAGAACGCUGCAAGAAGAGUUGCAGCUAAACUCUCUGUGAAGACUUUCUAGGGGCCUGAAGAGAUAGAUAACUACUAUGGUCAAGAUAAAGAUCUGAUUUCAUUAUGGAUUCAACCAUUAGAAUGUGCAUAGGACAGCUUCUGUGGCAGUUGCAAAUUGGUGAGCAUUUCUGUUUUCAAAGCUAAAAAGGAUGGCAACAAUGUUGAACACAUCAUUGUGUAUUUAUCAAAAGCAGGUUCUGAUCAUUGUAUAUUCCCAUUAAUGUAUCAGCCUGAUCAAGUGAAUGAUCUGAUAAUCAAAUCUAUUCUUGUUUAAGUGCAGAUUCAAUAUUAUCAGUCAAUUCAUUAAGAAGCCAUUAUUAUUAAAAUGCAUCGAAUGAGUGCACAAGUACAAGA